rnacentral:rRNA from 1 species
AUGACAAGACUAGCUCACCUCGCCGGCGCGGCCGCACUCUUCUUGCUGGCAGCCGCCAUCCCGGCAACGACUGUUGCGGUGCUGCCCUCAGAGGCCGAUGCCCUUCUGGCAUGGAAGGCAAGCCUCAUCGACGCAGCCGCGCUCUCCAGCUGGACCCGGGCCACACCCGUAUGUGACUGGCAUCGGGUGCACUGCGACAACAAAAGCGCCGUGGUGGAACUAAGACUAUAUAGACUCGGUCUAUCGGGCGGGCUCGAUACGCUCGACACAGUGGCGUUCCCGGCGCUCGCCUAUCUGGACCUUAGCAUCAACCACCUUGGCGGCGCCAUACCGGCCAGCAUCUCGCGUCUGCGCUCCCUCGAAUCACUCGACCUCAGCAAUAACGGCUUCAACGGCUCCAUCCCGCCGCAGCUCGACUGCUGGUGGAGCCUAGAGGCUCUGCUGUUCAUGGAUCUAUCCAACAAUUACUUUUCAAGUAAAAUCCCGGCACCUGUGGCAAACCACAACUGCUCUCUUAGGUCUCUUUACCUCGCCAGAAAUGGCUUCGGUGGUGCCUUCCCGCCGGUUCUAGAGGGUUGCAACUCGCUAUCCACCCUGGACAUCGGGAACAACAUGUUCUUUGGUGUUAUCCCUCCAUGGAUUGGGAGUCAGAUCCCAUUAUUGAGAAUCCUUAGCCUCAGAUCAAACAAUUUUACUGGAGAAAUUCCUCCGGAAUUAUCACGGCUUUCGCAACUUCAGCUGCUUGACAUGGCAAACAAUAGCUUGACUGGCUCCAUUCCGUUAACCAACCUUCAAGGCCAUCUGUUCAUAAACCUAUCAAGAAACCAUCUGUCGUGCCGCAUUCCCCAAGGCAUUGGUAGCCUCUCUUUUCUUGAGAUCCUUGAUCUAUCAUCUAAUCAACUUUUUGGAAACAUUCCUCAAAGCAUCACACGAUUAUCAGGGCUCAACACGUUAAAUGUCUCGAACAAUCUUUUGUCGGGCAAGAUACCCACCGGGAAUCAGAUUCAGACCCUGACUGACCCAUCAAUUUACUCCAACAAUUCUGGGCUCUGUGGAUUUCCUCUAAACAUUUCAUCGCUUCCGGAGCUUGCCUCUCUUAACCUUUGGAGGAACAACCUUGGAGGCCCAAUCCCGGCCAGCAUAUCAUGGCUGCGCUCCCUCCAAGUACUCGACCUCAGCGGCAACAGGUUCAACGGCUCCAUCCCGCCACAGCUUGGUGACAUGCCCAGCCUCACUGCCUUCUCUCUCUAUGAGAACAACCUCAUUGGCGAGAUCCCGCGCCAGCUCUGCAACCUUCUCUCCGUCCUGUCGUUGGACAUGUCCAACAACCGACUCACCGGGGAGCUCCCGAACUGCUGGUGCAACCUCCAGUCUCUGCGGUACAUGCGGCUGUCGGACAAUCGGCUCACCGGGGAGCUCCCGGGCUGCUGGUGGGACCUCCAUGCUCUGGAGACCAUGAUCCUGUCCAACAACUCCUUCUCAGGUGAAAUCCCGGCGGCUAAGGCAAGCCACAACUGCUCUCUCAUAUCAAUAUAUCUUGCCGGAAAUGCCUUUUCCGGAGCCCUCCCACUCCUAGAGGGUUGUGACAAGCUCGCUAUCCUCGACCUCAGUAGCAAUAUGUUUAACAACACCAUUCCACCGCAGCUCAGUGGCAUGCGCAGCCUCACCGACCUCUGGCUCUACAAUAACAACCUCGUCGGCAGUAUCCCGCACCAGCUCUGUAGGCACCUCUCCAUCCAGAUACUGGACCUGUCAAACAACGGGCUCACCGGAGAUCUCCCGGACUGCUGGUGCAACUUCCACGCGCUGAUGUUCAUGGUCCUAUCGAACAACCGUCUCACCGGCAAGCUCCCGAACUGCUGGUGGAACCUGGAGGCUCUGAUUUUCAUGGAUCUAUCCAACAACUCCUUCUCAAGUAAAAUCCCCGCAGCCGUGGCAAGCCACAACUGCUCUCUUAUGUCUCUUUACCUUGCUGGAAAUGGCUUCGUUGGUCCCUUCCCGAUGGUUCUAGAGGGUUGCAACUCGCUGGCCACCCUGGACAUGGGGAAUAACAAGUUCUUUGGUGUUAUCCCUCCAUGGAUCGGGAGUCAGAUCCCAUUGUUGAGAAUCCUUAGCCUGAAAUCAAACAAUUUCACUGGACAAAUUCCUCUAGAGUUAUCACGCCUUUCGCAACUUCAGCUGCUCAACAUGGCAAACAAUAGCUUGACCGGCUCGAUUCCGGUAGCCUUCGGCAGCUUGACCUCCAUGAUGCAUCCACAAAAUCUAUCGGCUACAGACCCGUCUAACAAGUUUAGUUACUAUGGUAGAAUCGACAUAACCUGGAAGGGCCAGUACAAGAUAUUUAGAAAAGAUAUCCAGUUAUUAGCCGGUAUCGAUUUGUCGGGCAAUUUAUUGUCUCAGUGCAUUCCUGAAGAGCUAACCAACCUUCAGGGCCUCCUAUUUCUAAACCUGUCGAGAAACCAUCUAUCAUCUAGCAUUCCUAAAAACAUUGGUAGUUUGACUUUUCUCGAGUCCAUUGAUCUAUCAUCUAAUGGACUUACAGGAGCCAUUCCGCCGAGCAUCUCGAGCUUACCGUGGCUCACCACGUUGAAUGUCUCGAACAAUCUUUUAUCGGGCAAGAUACCCAUCGGGAAUCAGCUUCAGACCCUGACUGACCCAUCAAUUUACUCCAACAAUUCUGGGCUCUGUGGAUUUCCUCUAAACAUUUUGUGUGCCAAUACUUCGCUUGCACCGGAUGAGAGAAAUGGUGAAGAGGAGGACGACUGGAUGUACUACUGUGUGAUUGCUGGGAUUGUGUCUGGUCUCUGGUUGUGGUUUGGGAUGCUCUUUAUAGUUAAGUCCUGGAGAUGUGGUUUUCUUUCCUUUAUUGAUGGCAUGCAAUGUAAAAUUAUGAAAAAGUUGUGA